CCUACGGUAGGCAGCAGUGAGGAAUAUUGGUCAAUGGACGCAAGUCUGAACCAGCCAUGCCGCGUGCAGGAUGACGGCUCUAUGAGUUGUAAACUGCUUUUGUACGAGGGUAAACCCCGAUACGUGUAUCGGGUUGAAAGUAUCGUACGAAUAAGGCUCGGCUAACUCCGUGCCAGCAGCCGCGGUAAUACGGAGGAUCCGAGCGUUAUCCGGAUUUAUUGGGUUUAAAGGGUGCGUAGGCGGUUUGAUACAUUGGUGGUUAACUUUCGGGGCUAAACCCCAAAUCUGCGUUUAAUACUGUUGGAUUAGAGAAUAGUGGCGGUAGGCGGAAUGUAUGGUGUAGCGGGGAAAUGCUUAGAGACCAUACAGAACACCGAUUGCGAAGGAAGAUUACCAAACUAUAUCUGACGUUGAGGCACGAAAGCGUGGGUAGCAAACAGGAUUAGAUACCCUUGUAGU
rnacentral:rRNA from 1 species